AGUGAACGCUGGCGGUAGGCCUAACACAUGCAAGUCGAACGGCAGCACAGGAGAGCUUGCUCUCUGGGUGGCGAGUGGCGGACGGGUGAGGAAUACAUCGGAAUCUACUUUGUCGUGGGGGAUAACGUAGGGAAACUUACGCUAAUACCGCAUACGACCUACGGGUGAAAGCAGGGGACCUUCGGGCCUUGCGCGAUUGAAUGAGCCGAUGUCGGAUUAGCUAGUUGGCGGGGUAAAGGCCCACCAAGGCGACGAUCCGUAGCUGGUCUGAGAGGAUGAUCAGCCACACUGGAACUGAGGAACGGUCCAGACUCCUACGGGAGGCAGCAGUGGGGAAUAUCGGACAAUGGGCGCAAGCCUGAUCCAGCCAUACCGCGUGGGUGAAGAAGGCCUUCGGGUUGUAAAGCCCUUUUGUUGGGAAAGAAAUCCAGCUGGCUAAUACCCGGUUGGGAUGACGGUACCCAAAGAAUAAGCACCGGCUAACUUCGUGCCAGCCGCCGCCGUAA
rnacentral:rRNA from 1 species